rnacentral:rRNA from 1 species
UACGUAGGGGGCUAGCGUUGUCCGGAAUCAUUGGGCGUAAAGAGCGUGUAGGCGGCCCGGUAAGUCCGCUGUGAAAGUCGGGGGCUCAACCCUCGAAUGCCGGUGGAUACUGUCGGGCUAGAGUGCGGAAGAGGCGAGUGGAAUUCCUGGUGUAGCGGUGAAAUGCGCAGAUAUCAGGAGGAACACCGAUUGCGAAGGCAGCUCGCUGGGACGUCGCUGACGCUGAGACGCGAAAGCGUGGGGAGCAAACAGG